rnacentral:rRNA from 1 species
GAUGAACGCUGGCGGCGUGCCUAAUACAUGCAAGUCGAACGAACAGACGAGGAGCUUGCUCCUCUGACGUUAGCGGCGGACGGGUGAGUAACACGUGGAUAACCUACCUAUAAGACUGGGAUAACUUCGGGAAACCGGAGCUAAUACCGGAUAAUAUAUUGAACCGCAUGGUUCAAUAGUGAAAGACGGUUUUGCUGUCACUUAUAGAUGGAUCCGCGCCGCAUUAGCUAGUUGGUAAGGUAACGGCUUACCAAGGCAACGAUGCGUAGCCGACCUGAGAGGGUGAUCGGCCACACUGGAACUGAGACACGGUCCAGACUCCUACGGGAGGCAGCAGUAGGGAAUCUUACGCAAUGGGCGAAAGCCUGACGGAGCAACGCCGCGUGAGUGAUGAAGGUCUUCGGAUCGUAAAACUCUGUUAUUAGGGAAGAACAAAUGUGUAAGUAACUAUGCACGUCUUGACGGUACCUAAUCAGAAAGCCACGGCUAACUACGUG